rnacentral:rRNA from 1 species
AUUGAACGCUGGCGGCAGGCUUAACACAUGCAAGUCGAGCGGAGAUGAGGUGCUUGCACCUUAUCUUAGCGGCGGACGGGUGAGUAAUGCUUAGGAAUCUGCCUAUUAGCGGGGGACAACAUUCCGAAAGGAAUGCUAAUACCGCAUACGUCCUACGAGAGAAAGCAGGGGAUCUUCGGACCUUGCGCUAAUAGAUGAGCCUAAGUCGGAUUAGCUAGUUGGUGGGGUAAAGGCCUACCAAGGCGACGAUCUGUAGCGGGUCUGAGAGGAUGAUCCGCCACACUGGGACUGAGACACGGCCCAGACUCCUACGGGAGGCAGCAGUGGGGAAUAUUGGACAAUGGGGGGAACCCUGAUCCAGCCAUGCCGCGUGUGUGAAGAAGGCCUUAUGGUUGUAAAGCACUUUAAGCGAGGAGGAGGCUACUGAGACUAAUACUCUUGGAUAGUGGACGUUACUCGCAGAAUAAGCACCGGCUAACUCUGUGCCAGCCGCCGCCGUAAUAC